rnacentral:lncRNA from 1 species
AAGGCAGCCACCUGUGUCUUUUAUAACCAACAGAGUGAAUUUAUAAAGAAUUACAUAGAAAUUAGAACGAAAGUGUGAAGACCAUUAAGUGUGAACAAAAUAAUAACCAGAAAUGUGAUCUUGUAUGGAGAAAGUCAUGCAGAGGGAAAAUAUAUAUACCGAAUUUGUUACGAUACAAAUAUGAGGCCUGGUUUGACCACCCUCUGGUUUUGGUUAGUCCUAGCUGCUAUAUGCUGUCUAAUAAUACCCAAGAAUACUGUUUCUGGCGAAAAGUUGUCUGAUUACCUAUGGAGUGAAACAAAUGAGCUUCAGCAGGCUGCACUGGACACUUACGUAGUUCAAGGUCUCAAAAAUGGGUCAUUAGAUCCAUCUGAUUUCGGGGCUUACAUGGUCCAGGAUGCCUAUUUAUAUGCAUUCCUCGAAAGAAAGUAUUGAUGUGGACCAUCGGUAAAACAACCGAUCCGGAUCUCAAACAGUUCUUACAGGAAAAAGCUAAAAGCUACGAGAGUCUUUACAUAGACCUCUUCAAACAAUGGCAUAUCGAUGACCCACACGGAAUCAAGCUAGGAAGUGCCUGUGAAAAUUACACAAAUCACCUAAGCAAUGUUGCAAAGACCUAUGGAGCCUGCCUAUCUUGUUGUUGCUAUGGUACCUUGUGUAAAACUUUGGCCAUGGAUUGGUACGCAAAUCAAAGCAGAUUUUAAUAGCUUUGGUGUCUAUACAAAAUGGAUACGGGAAAAUUUUGAUCCGGAAUACAAAGGAUAUCAGGUGUAUGAUUUAAUGGUUGACGAUGCAUACAGGGAAGGAACGAUUGAUAAAGAUAUUGCGCUCUCUGUGUACGUUGCAAGCAUGAAAGGAGAAGUGGACUUUUUCGGGCUGCUGUAAAAUUGUUUGACUCAGCAAUGGACUAGUUUGACUGAGCGAUAGAACAAGAUCAUCUAUAUAUUACUCCUGUCAGUACAAAUGUAUAUUGUUUUUUUAUCAUUAUUUCUAUUCUAAUUGGAAAUAGACUUUUAUCACAAUGUAUCGUGCUACUGAUGGAAACGCGCAAUUGGUCAUAUCUAUGAUUUAUAUUGAAAAGGGAAGAUCAAAGAAGUACUUGUUAAGAGAACUUGUAAAACUUGUAGAAAUGCACAUACUUUGUUUAUACAUGUAUAAGAUGAUAUUACAGAGAAUAAUUAAUAUAACAUUAUCAUAUAACUGUAGAAAACUGUAAGAAUAGUAUAGGUGUACAUUAGAAAGAAUAAAUCUUACAAAGGCGUGAACUCCUAAA